AACGGUGAGGAGGGAAGUCUUGCCUCCAGAAACAUCUCACGAGCUGCGCACGUGGAAGUGAAAGAUGCAGUUCCAUCACCCAAGAAGUUCUCUUCUCACCAACUAACACCUACCAGACUCUCCUUCAGUGGGCAGAAGAUCACAAGUCCUUACUUCAAAAGCUGUGUCAGCAAGUGGAAGCUUUAAAGAAUGAAACACGGGAAAUGAAACGUAACAGUUGCAGUGUAAGCGUGCCAUCUCAUCGCUGGCCUGCUGAAAGCUGUGGAGCAGAUCCUGUGUCAGAUGGUUAUGGGAGAGCACAGCAUGUUUGUGAAGCUCCUUGGAAGGUUGCUACCUCUGGCCCGUCUGUUUGCAGUAGCCAGUCACCUGCUGUGACUCGCAGUGUCUUUGAAGAACUGCUGCAACCAAUGUACCACCAACAGAGGUGAGGACAAACGAAUCUGCUCAAGCCAUUUCUACUGCUUUGUUGAAAACAGCUGGUUGUGAUUCUGUGUGCAGCUGGGUAUAACUGCGGUUCCCUAGAGAGCAUUUACUGCACUUGAGGUCUGCUGGAGACAGGCAGAAAGUUCCAUUAUCAGCUGAUCUUUGGGAUGUGGGGUUUGGGAGAAACAGCCAGCAAGAGAUGUUUUUAACGUGCUGGCACAUGUCCUCUGCUCGUUGUCUGCCAUGUUCUUUUCCCCACAGUAGUAUGGGGACUUGCUGGUUUUGACUUUUUUGAUACUAAAGGAAAUGAGUCAGUUCACUUACGCUUCUCUCCAGUCUGUGUGUUCAGAUACCAUCCAAGUUUUGAACGUAUGAUUUCAGUUUAAACUGGUGAGAGUUGAAAUCUAAUUUUAAGGUGCACCUUGCUAUGAAGAGUGCACGUUGCAUGGGCUUCAGCCCCCUGAUCCCUUUUUCUCCUUUUGCACGAGGAAGUAACGGUGUGUUUUUCUUUAGGCGCCUGUCUGUGGCAUGAACGGAGCUGCACCUCAGCACGUAGACGUGCUCAGCAACAAGCGAUCCACGCGCCGCCCCUGCACAGCACUUGUGCUGGUGUGUUUCCUCAAGGCACCUGUGGUGCACCUGUGUGUUUUGAUGCUCCGUCUGCUGGAAUCCUUUCUCCUCGUGGAGGUGAUGAUCGCUACAACUACGGCCUGCCCCAGGCGAGCGCAAAUCCACCUCUGCCUGAACCAGGCUGUUUUACAAAACCUGCGUUUGCACCCACAGCUUUAAAACCUGCAGAGUCCUGUGUCGGUGCCGCACAGGACAAAUUAGGAUCCGCCUUUGCGAAAAAGGAAGGGCAGUGGGACUGUAACAUCUCUUCAGUGAGAAAUGAACCCACUGCCCCAAAAUGUGUUGCCCUGCAGAACGCAAACAAAACUCGUUCAGCAGUAUCUCUUCAAGAAGUUUCCUUUAAACUCGAUGGGAAAACCCCAGCGUGUACCUCUCAGAAUCUGGCAGAUGCUGAAGCGAAGCCUGCAGAGGGAAGAUGUAACUUCUCAGUGUGGAUGCCUCCAGGCGGAUUUAAAUUUGGCAUAGAGGAGUGCAAUACAAAUUGCGCUAAGAAAGAUGAUCCACCCAAGGAGCGUACAGCAGACUUGACAAACAUGGAUGGAAAAGACAAAAAUGAACUGCCCUCAGGUGGUGGAGUUACACUCCAAUCUCAAGAAACAGCAAACAGGGACAAGAGUGAACACACCUGUGAGAAAGGCACGUGGAUAACACCUCAUGUUUCUGGUACGAACGCAGCCAAAGCAUCUCCUUGUGGUGCGAACUCUGUAGCUGUGCUGGAGGAAGCUACCAGGGAACAAAGUGACCUCAGCCAUGGUGGUGAUGGUUCUGAUGCUGCUGUAGAGGCCUCAGAGGCUUUAAGCACCUCUGAAACGCCAAGAAAAACCAUGGUUUCUGCUCCAAAGUUUGUAUUUAGGUCUGAAUGUGUCAAGAGCGUUUUCAGUAAUGAAAAGACAUUCCCAUCUGGCAAUACCUCUGCCAUUGGUUCCCUCUUUGGAUUCGGCUUUAAUCCUCCAGGAAAGAGCGCUGAUGGAAUUUCAACAUCUCAGAAAGCAGAGCAGGAAAAACCGGGAGUGGCUGAAGCACCCAAAAGCUGCAGUGCAGCUCAGAAGAGCCCAGAAGAGAUGUGAAAUAAGUUCUGUUCAGUCGCUGUGUCAUAUCUUCUGGAAUUUCAUAUGCUCAGAGCUCAUCGGUAGUACAGCUGCUGCAGACAGGGAAAUUGUGGCCAGCACACUGGAUAGCUUAAAAAUCAAACAACUUCCUGUGCAGCGUGGUGCAGGCAGUGUUGCAUUGCUAAAAUGAAUUUCAAACGCUGGAACCUGUUGGGCUCUUCCUAAUGAGGUUCAACACGGCAAAGUGCAGGGUUUUGCAUUUGGGCCGGAAGAACCCCAGGCACCUGUAGAGGCUGGGAGGAGCAGUCCUUGAAAGCAGCUCGGCAGAGAAGGACCUGGGGGUCCUGAUGGACGAGAGACUGAACAUGAGCCAGCAGUGCGCUCUGGCAGCUCGAAAGGCAAAUGGGAUCCUGGGCUCCAUCAGGAGAGGGGUGGCCAGCAGGGACAGGGAGGUGAUUGUCCCUCUCUACUCGGCUCUUGUGAGGCCCCAUCUGGAGUACUGUGUCCAGGUGGAGGUAAAGUCUGGAGAAGAAUGUGAAGGAAUUGUCUUCAAAGAGAGGGCAGAACUUUACAGCUGGGCCAGAGAUGCUGCUCAGCGGAAGGAGCGCGCUCUUGGAGAGCUGAAGGUCCUCUUCCGGACACAGCAGAAGUAUUCCAGGACCCUCAUGAGAAGGGACCAAGUUGUUGAGGUGCGUGCAAAGCAUGUCAUCGCCACAGAAAUGAACUCCUUGCCCUCUGAAACAUCAAACUGUUUGAAUUUGGACAGCUACAGGUGAUGCUGACGGUGAAGUGGAAGUAGAGCGAGUUGCGGUCAGAUGAGAAGUUCAAGAACUGGCUGAUUCUUUCGAGAGGAGAUUGAAGAAUGCCAGCAAAGCUUGUCAGAGCUGCAGAAGGGCCAGCUCUCUC